AAAAAUGAUCUGUUUUGUUUCAAGCAGAAAGAUAAGGAGUUAUUGCAAGGCUAUUUCAGAAGAUUUGUGCAGUUGAGAGCGCAAGCUCUGAAUGUGUUGGAUUCAGUAGCUAUUAAAGCGGCCAUCAUUGGCCUAAAAAUAGGGCAAUGUCGAUCCCAUCUCAUGCGAGAAAUGCCAAAGACAAUCCAAGCGCUAUAUGAAAAAUUUGAGAAAUAUUACAGGUCCGAUAAUG
rnacentral:lncRNA from 1 species